UGCCCCGUGGUGUAACGGUAACACGAACGGCUCUGGACCGUUAAUUCAAGGUUCGAAUCCUUGCGGGGCAG
rnacentral:tRNA from 1 species